ACAUGUUUUAAAUCAACAAUUUUAAAAUCAAACCAUUUUCCAAAUUUGCACAAUGGAGCGCUGAAAGGGUACAAUCAAUUUAAAAAAAAAGUGCUUUUGCAGUUUUCCUACGGCGGUAACUCAGCAAUGCAUCAAGUAAUCAAAACCUCAAAUGCAAUGUUCUCACAACUAUUGCUUCCUGCUAUGGGUGGUUAUUCUAGGUAUGGCUUCAAUUGUACCUUUGUUCAUAUCUCACCCUAAGCUGUCGUUUUAGUGAAACUUGAUUUUUUGGGUUGAUGUCCCCUAUAUUGUCAUAUACGUUUUUUAGACACUUUGUAUAUGUCACUGGCAAUUUAUUAAAUCAGUCAUUUUAUCAAAUACCUUAGCAGAUUGAAUUUGAAAAAAACGAUUCAUCAUAUCUACGGAGUCUCAUUGUUCUUUCCUCUUCAAUACAUAGAGAGAAUGCAAAAAUGCAGAAUACACAAAGUUUUAAAAGUUUGUGUCUUAUAACGUGCUGCAAAUUUUUAAAUAAUUGUUCGUUCAAGGGCUACAUUAAAUACCAUAACCAUUAAAACCAUCAUAACCAUCAUAACCAUUUAAAAUACUAUUCUGUGAUGCACGUUUUUACACAGAUUUCUGUAUUCAUAGGAGCAAUGAAUUACUUUGUUUACAAUUAGCACAAAAAAAUCAGAAUUUCAAUCUAAGCAAAAAAAUUCACUAUUUUCCUAGGCAUUUGAAAAAAUGUGCCUGAUUUGACUCUUGCCUGCGACAUAUGUGUAUAGCUUUUGGAUACAUAUGUAGUAUAAAUUAUUUUAGGUUGACUGAUAGUGCCAACAUGUUGUAAGCCCACUUUGUUUUUUGUCUUUCAGUUCAAAACAAGCCUUCCAAGGUACACCCACGCGCCAACUUCAAUGGCUGUCAAUCCUUUGUCAAAUUUUUUGAUAGUUGUUUAUUCGGACCAUAAGCUGAUAGAGUAUGAUCUCGAAGCCUGCAAGUACACGAAGUUUACACAAACGUUUUCUAAUGAACACCUCAGGCAGUGGACAGCUCGGUGUUUCCCAAUAGAAGGAAUAAUUUUUGAUAGAGAAGAUCAGAAUAUCUUCAUGAUAUACAACGAUUCAACAAUCUGUGUUAUUGACAAAGAAAAGAGAUUGAUUCCAAGUAAAUGCAAGAGCAAAAUUCCGCGAUUGAACAAUUCGCACACCUCGAUGCAAGAAGGGUGUAAUGAAAAUGAAGUAAAUGAUGGAAACUGUGAAGAAUCAUCUCAUUUCUCUUGAAGAAAUUUAAG
rnacentral:lncRNA from 1 species